CCUGACAAAGUGGUCUCCAAACACCCAACCCAGGAGUUCAGGCCUUCUCGUUCAGAAAGGAAGCCAUGGGCAGUGGAAACUGCAGCACCCAGAGUGGGAAAUGGGAAUGACAGGAGGCAGGAGGCGGUCAUCUUGGGACCCUGAUGUUGUAACACUCAGUGUGGUUCUGCAAGGAGAGACUCAAACUUAUUUGACAAGAAGAGAGCAUUCUGUUCCACCACAAGUCAUGCUGGUAAUUCUUCAGACCUUGCACUUGGCCGGAACAGUCUACCCUCAGGAGUCUCUCCUAAACUGUUCCACCUGCUUGUUGGAGGUCUUUGUUAUAGC